GAUGAACGCUGGCGGCGUGCCUAAUACAUGCAAGUCGAGCGAACAGACGAGGAGCUUGCUCCUUUGACGUUAGCGGCGGACGGGUGAGUAACACGUAGGUAACCUACCUAUAAGACUGGGAUAACUUCGGGAAACCGGAGCUAAUACCGGAUAAUAUUUCGAACCGCAUGGUUCGAUAGUGAAAGAUGGCUUUGCUAUCACUUAUAGAUGGACCUGCGCCGUAUUAGCUAGUUGGUAAGGUAACGGCUUACCAAGGCAACGAUACGUAGCCGACCUGAGAGGGUGAUCGGCCACACUGGAACUGAGACACGGUCCAGACUCCUACGGGAGGCAGCAGUAGGGAAUCUUCCGCAAUGGGCGAAAGCCUGACGGAGCAACGCCGCGUGAGUGAUGAAGGUCUUCUGAUCGUAAAACUCUGUUAUUAGGGAAGGACAAACGUGUAAGUAACUGUGCACGUCUUGACGGUACCUAAUCAGAAAGCCACGGCUAACUACGUG
rnacentral:rRNA from 1 species